rnacentral:rRNA from 1 species
GCGGUAAUUCCAGCUCCAAUAGCGUAUAUUAAAGUUGUUGCAGUUAAAAAGCUCGUAGUUGAAUUUCGGGAUCAAUAUUUCGGUCAUGCCGUUGGUAUGCACUGUUAUCAUUGAUUUCUCACCUUCUAAAGAACCGUAAUGCCAUUAAUUUGGUGUUACGGGGAAUUAGGACUGUUACCUUGAAAAAAUUAGAGUGUUUAAAGCAGGCUCACGCUUGAAUACAUUAGCAUGGAAUAAUGAAAUAGGACAUCCGAUUCUAUUUUGUUGGUUUCUAGGAUCGAUGUAAUGAUUAAUAGGGAUAGUUGGGGGCAUUAGUAUUCAAUUGUCAGAGGUGAAAUUCUUGGAUUUAUUGAAGACUAACUACUGCGAAAGCAUUUGCCAAGGAUGUUUUCA